GGUGGUGUUGUUUAACAAACACCACCCUUGAUGCACUUUCUCUGCAUUUUCUACCCACUUUUUCCUCUCUUUGAAAGUCUUCACGCUCUUAAGUCAUUUUAUCAUCUUCAAUUCAUUACACAGUAAAGUUUGAUUGCCAAACUCACUGAUCUUGAUUUUGAUAUUCAGUCCGGUGAGCAUCUUUGAAUUGCACUCUUCAUUCGGAGCACUCAAACAGAGGUCAAACUCAGGUUAAUGAAACGCAUGCAGGUUUGAAAUCAUAGCCCUACUAAGAGUUUCAGAUUUGGUCUCAGAGGUACACAGGCCGCUCCUAGCUAGUUUCCACAUUUUCCUUGCUUAAUUUGGUUUCCAACUUUAUUCUACUGAUCACCUUUUGCUCCGGUCCAUCAAAAAACCAGUUAAGGACACCUACUCCUUUUAUUUCCUUGUUUCUCCCCAUGAUUUAUUUUCAUUGCAGUUUCUAGUUGUUUCUUGUCCCUACUGUUGCAAAAAUCCAAAAAAAAAAAAAAAAACUGAAGAAAAGAAGAAAAAAAAAAAACAAAAAAAGUAAGGAGAAGGAAAAGGGAUAAAAGAUUGAAAGCAAGAAUGGAGAGUAUUUUAAUGGAGUGUGCUACUAAAUUCCUUGAGUGGACAGUUGCACCAGUCGGACAAUGGUUAUGUUACUCGUUUCACUACAAGAGCAACAUUGGGAGUAUGAAGAACCAGGAAAAGAAGUUGGGGCUUGCUAACAAAAGAUUGCAAAAUUCCGUUGAGGCUGCUAGAUGUAACGGUCUACAAAUUGAAGGUGAUGUUAAAAAAUGGUUGGAAGAGGCGGAGGAUGUUAAAAUAGAGAACUUGGUUAGAAACGUUCUUGAACGUGAAGAAGAAGAAGCAAAGAUGAAGUGGUACAGUGGGGCAUGUCUGAUGAAGUUGAAGCGACGGCAUCAGCUAAGCCGAAAAGCAAAGAAGAUAGAGCAAGAAAUUGGUAAACUACUCCAGACAAAGCCUAGUUCAGAGAGAGUUGGCUUCCGUCCUGCUCCACAAGGGAUAGUGAUUGUCGGAUCUAUGGAUUACGUGGCCUCUAAAUCAAGAGAGUCAACUGUGACGAGACUUAUGGAGGCAUUGGAAGAUGAUGAGAUCCACUUGAUCGGGGUGUGGGGGAUGGCUGGUGUGGGAAAGUCUAGACUGGUGAGAGAAGUUGCCAACCAAGCAAAGGAAAAAAAGUUAUUCGAUGAGGUGGUUAUUGCAAAUGUGACUCAGAGCCCAGACUGUAGACGAAUUCAAGGAGAAAUCGCGGACACGCUACGUCUAAAGUUUGAUGAGGAGACUGAACCCGGAAGAGCAAGUCGUUUGCUGGAGAGAUUAUCACAAGAAAGGAAGAAACCUGGUAUCCCUGAGGAGAAUGUUGAUUUGGAGGCAAUUCCUCUACAGGGGAGGUUAACAGGAAAAAAAGACGAGAAGAUGAUACUUGUUAUCCUUGAUGACAUAUGGGAGAAACUUGAUUUGGAGGCGAUAGGAAUUCCUUCAAGGGGAUGCAAAGUAUUACUGAUAUCCAGAGAUCGAAAUGUAUUAGUUUCUAAAAUGGACACCCAAAAGGAUAUUCAACUUGGAGUUUUAGAUGAUGAAGAUGCAUGGAGUUUAUUUGAGAAGAUGGCGGGUGACUGUGUUAAAGACCCCAAUUUGCAAAGCACAGCAACUGGGGUAGCUAAAGCAUGUGCAGGUCUGCCUCUUGCACUUGUAACGGUGUCUAAGGCAUUAAAAAAUAAGGAGUUAUUUGAAUGGAAGGAUGCACUGCAGCUUCUAAGAAGACCCGCUCCCAAACACCUUACAGAAAUGCUGUCAACUAUAUAUUCUUCCAUAGAGCUUAGUUUUAAACAUCUUAAAGAAAGUCAUAAGGAGGCCCUUGACGUCUUUUUGCUUUGUUCUCAACUGGGGUACUACAUUGGGAAGGACGACUUGUUGAAGUAUUGUUAUGGUUUGGGUUUAUUUCAUGGUAUUAAUACAAUUGAAGAAGCAAAAAACAGACUAUAUAAAAUACUUCGUAUUCUGGAAGACUGUUGUCUAUUGCAACCUUAUAAAUCUAGAAGUUUAUGUAUGCAUGAUGUUGUCCGUGAUGCUACUAAAUCAAUAGCGGAACAGGAUCAUAAUAUGUUUGUGGUGAGAGCUGAUGGUGGGCUAAAAGAAUGGCUAGAUGCGAAUGCAUUCAAAAGAUGCGAGACAAUCUAUGCUCGUGGCGGAGAUAUCCAUGAACUUCCUAACAAAAUGGAAUUGCCAGAAUUAAGAUUCUUUUGUUUAUGGGGUGAAGAUAGUCCUAAGCAAAUCUCAGACAAUUUCUUUGAAGGGGUGGGAAAGCUCAAAGUUUUAGAUUUGACCCAAAUGCACCUUUCAUCACUUCCGUCAUCACUUCUUCUCCUUGAAAAUCUGCAAACGUUGUGCCUGGAUCAAUGUGUGUUGGGAGACAUAGCUAUAGUUGGAAAGCUCAAGAAUUUAGUAGUUCUUAGCCUUCUUAAAUCCAACAUUUCACAAUUGCCAGAAGAAAUAGGGUUGUUGACUUGUUUGCGGUUAUUGGAUUUGACAGAUUGUUUCAAACUUGAAUUGAUUCCACCUAAUGUCCUAUCAAGCUUGAUCGCAUUAGAAGUGUUGUAUAUGAGAAAUAGUUUUGUUCAAUGGGAGGCUGAAGGGCUCAACAAUGCUAGCCUUGCUGAGCUAAAGCAUUUGUCACAUUUGAUCACUUUAGAAAUAAAAAUUUCAAAUGCCAGCAAUUUGCCAAAAGAUUUGUUAUUUGAGAAGUUAGAGAGAUACGUAAUAUCUAUAGGAGAUGAAUGGGACUGGUCUGAUGAGCGAGAAGAAGCCUCAAGAACAUUAAAACUCAAGCUGAAUACAAGCUUUCAAUCACAGGUUGGGAUUAUAAAGAUAUUGAAUAAAACAGAAAAUCUUUAUUUAGAUGAUUUAAAGGGUGUUAAGAGUGUUCUACAUGAAUUAGAUUGGGAAGGCUUUCAACAACUGAAGCAUCUCCAUAUCCAAAAUAAUCGUGAGAUUAAGUAUAUUAUGAACUUGGUGAUGCCAUUUGUUGUCUUUCCUGCCUUGGAGACUUUUCUUCUCAAAAAUAUGACGAGCUUGGAAGAAAUAGGUCAUGGCCAACUUCCCAACUUGACAUCCUUUGGUAAGUUGAGAGUUGUAAAAGUGGAACACUGUGAUAAAUUAAAGUAUUUCUUCUCGUUAUCCAUAGCCCGGGGCCUUUCUCAAUUGGAAGAAUUGGAGAUAAGAGAAUGCAGCAUCAUGGGUUCAAUAGUCAUGAAAGAAGAAGGCGAAAUAGAAGAUGAAGAUACCGCAUCCUUGUUCCCUCAACUACGCCUCUUGAGACUUAAGCAUCUUCCAAAGCUCAAGAGCUUCUUAAGCAUACAAAAUUCACUCGUAACUGAUGCUGGAGAAAUUAUCAUGGAGGGCAAGCCUGAUUUUCACAUGCCAAUUCUACAUGAACAGGUUGUGUUCCCCAACUUGAAACGCUUGGAACUCUUCUCAAUAGGCUUGGAAGACAUUCAACACAACCAAAAUCUAGCAACAAGGUCCUUUUGCAGAAUAGAGAACAUGCAAUCAACGCCGAGGUUUCAAAAUUUGCUAGACUUGGACGUGAAGGGCUCUAAUAAUAUAAAAUAUCUACUGUCAUUCUCUUCGGCCAGAUUUAUGGAGCAACUCAAACACCUUCGCAUACGUAAAUGUGAGGUUAUGGAAGAGAUACUUGUCACUGAAGAUUUAAGAGUAGUAGGAGAAACAAUACCUAAAGAAUUCUUCCCUCGACUAGAAAUCCUAAAGCUAAAAAAGCUUCCAAUGCUAAAAAGAUUCUGCGAAGGAAGUAAUAUCAAAUUUCCAUCUUUGAAGUGGCUAAUCAUAGACAAUUGCCCUAAGUUAAAAACAUUCAUAUCCAAACCUGUUAGUUUGGACAUGAUGACCAGCUGUCGAGAACCAAAGGAAAUGAAUGUAGCAGAGAGCCCUCAUACCGCUAUGCAACCUCUGUUCAAUGAAGAGGUUUCCUUCCCUUGUUUGGAAUGGUUGACAAUCUUCCAAGUGGAUGACUUGAAAAUUAUAUGGGGGAACCAAUUUGCUGUGGAUUCCUUUUACAAGCUCCAGGAUAUAACAGUAUAUUCAUGUGAAAAUCUUCUUAACGUCUUUCGAUCUGAUAUGCUGGAAAGAUUCCAAAGUCUUGAGAAACUUCGUAUACGUGAUUGUCACUCAUUGCAAGAAGUAUUUGAAGUGCAAGGGAUGAAUGUUAAAGAAAGCCAUGUUGUAACAAGAGAAGACUCCAAACCAAUUUUCAGCUUUCAAAAUCUACAAAGAGUAUUUGUUGUUGAAUGUAGCAGUUUGAAAAGUUUAUUUCCAGCAUCUAUGGCCACAUGUCUCGCGCAAUUGGAGAAACUUGUGAUAAUUGAUUGUAUGGUACUGGAGGAAAUUGUUGUAGGGGAAGAAACAAAGCAACCAAUAGCUAGGUUCGUCUUCCCUAGAGUAACUGUCCUGCAUCUUGUAGUUCUACCAAGACUCAAGUGGUUUUACCCAGGAGUACAUACUUCAGAAUGGCCAAUGCUCAAAAAUAUGUUGGUGGCUUUUUGUCCAAAAGUAAAGAUUUUUGCGUCUGAACUUUCAAGCUUUAAAGAUAUACUUGGGGAGAGCCAAGUUGAGAUUCCCAGUAAACAGCCCCUUUUCUUGGUUGAUGAUGAGGUUCCAUUCCCUAGUUUGGAAAAAUUGAGAAUCUUCUGCAUGGCUGACUUGAAGAUUAUAUGGCAUAACCAAUUCACUGCAAAUUCCUUUUGCAAACGUGAGAUUAUAAAAGAUGAGUUUUGUGAAAAUCUUAUUGUUCAUCAAGAAACAUGUGGUGUUACAGCCACUCAAUUAAAAGAAUUGCAUCUUCUUCAUCUGCCAAAACUGAAGCAUAUAUGGAAUAAAGACCCCCAAGAAAUUUCCAGCUUUCAAAAUCCACAUGAAGUACAUGCUAUAGGAGGUGAGAACAUGACUUUUGACUUUGAACAUGAUGUGGUCAAGGAAAUUGGUUUGACGUACCAAAACUCGGGUGUUUCCCCUGAAGAGCGCAUAAUUGAGAUCGACAGUUGAUGAAAGAAUUUGACCUGAAUUAAUGUUAUCAAGUUGAGAUAUUUGCUUCGAAAUUUUUGAGCUUUCAAGAAAUAGUUGAACAGAGCCACCUUUAGACCUCCAUUUAACACCUUCUAUUCUUGGUUGAAGAGGCAAAAGUUCAUAAUUCUGAAGACGACGAAGAUCAUUCUUAAUAUGCAGUACCUGGAAUGUUACUUUUUUUUGUUUAAUUAGUUUGUGGGACUAAGGAUUUUGUUUUUUUUUUCUUUGAAGUCGGUCAAAGGGAGAUCAGACCGGGCUAAUCUAUGGUUACUUGUUUUGAUAUUGCUUCUUUAUUUUCUUGUUUUGUGAUGUAUUUAAAAAAAAAAAAAUUAAAAAAAAAAAAAAAAAAAAAAAGAGU